rnacentral:ncRNA from 1 species
CUUAUCAAGAGCGGCUGAGGAAACAGGUCCUAUGAAGCCCGGCAACCUGAUAUAAAAGUCAAGGUGCCAAAUCCUGCGGUAUUAUUCCGAAAGAUGAGG